UGGCGGCGUGCCUAAUACAUGCAAGUCGAACGCUUCUUUUUCCACCGGAGCUUGCUCCACCGGAAAAAGAGGAGUGGCGAACGGGUGAGUAACACGUGGGUAACCUGCCCAUCAGAAGGGGAUAACACUUGGAAACAGGUGCUAAUACCGUAUAACAAUCGAAACCGCAUGGUUUUGAUUUGAAAGGCGCUUUCGGGUGUCGCUGAUGGAUGGACCCGCGGUGCAUUAGCUAGUUGGUGAGGUAACGGCUCACCAAGGCCACGAUGCAUAGCCGACCUGAGAGGGUGAUCGGCCACAUUGGGACUGAGACACGGCCCAAACUCCUACGGGAGGCAGCAGUAGGGAAUCUUCGGCAAUGGACGAAAGUCUGACCGAGCAACGCCGCGUGAGUGAAGAAGGUUUUCGGAUCGUAAAACUCUGUUGUUAGAGAAGAACAAGGAUGAGAGUAACUGUUCAUCCCUUGACGGUAUCUAACCAGAAAGCCACGGCUAACUACGUGCCAGCAGCCGCGGUAAUACGUAGGUGGCAAGCGUUGUCCGGAUUUAUUGGGCGUAAAGCGAGCGCAGGCGGUUUCUUAAGUCUGAUGUGAAAGCCCCCGGCUCAACCGGGGAGGGUCAUUGGAAACUGGGAGACUUGAGUGCAGAAGAGGAGAGUGGAAUUCCAUGUGUAGCGGUGAAAUGCGUAGAUAUAUGGAGGAACACCAGUGGCGAAGGCGGCUCUCUGGUCUGUAACUGACGCUGAGGCUCGAAAGCGUGGGGAGCAAACAGGAUUAGAUACCCUGGUAGUCCACGCCGUAAACGAUGAGUGCUAAGUGUUGGAGGGUUUCCGCCCUUCAGUGCUGCAGCUAACGCAUUAAGCACUCCGCCUGGGGAGUACGACCGCAAGGUUGAAACUCAAAGGAAUUGACGG
rnacentral:rRNA from 1 species